CUCCAGUCUGAGAAAUUGAGAUGUCGUCGAGGUCUUCAAUUUUGUAGGCUUCGAGUUAGAUGACUUUAGUGACUGAUAGUGCCCUUCCUAAUUUGGGGCCAGCUUGAUUUAUUCUAUAAGCUUGGAUACUUUGGCUCUUCAAAGAAUGAGGUCCAUGGCAAAAACAUCUUCCACUUGAUCAAGCAUCAUAAUAUUUUGCCAUUCGCUAUUGAUACGAACCCAUCCUAGUCCGAACUCGCUCUCUUAUUUCUUCCAGCAAGUCUAACUCAUCCA
rnacentral:lncRNA from 1 species